rnacentral:lncRNA from 1 species
AGUACAUGUAAAUUUAUAAAUAAGUAAAUUAAGAAAAUAAACAUACUUUUUUUUGGCUGAUAGGGUGUAAGAAUUUAAAAAACAUUAACUGUUCUAAAUGACCAAAACGGGGAGAUGGAGGAGAGAACCAGCGAGCAAAGUGGGAUGUUGCUUCCUAGAAAGAGGUUAACUUUAAAUGAAUGGAAGCAUUUCCCACCACCAGGAAGGGUAUUUUCGUAGAGUAAAUGUGAUGUGAUUCCAAAAGUAUGACUCAAAGGAUACUAAAGCCUUCUGCUUCCAAAUGCCCCUUCUCCCCUCCCCCACUGUAGCCUGAAAUUCCACUAUUCCCAAUUCCUUUCUUAGGAUCUUGAGGCUUUAGAGAUGGGCACGUGGACGAUUUCCAGUCUUUAAAAGUACGAAUGAACUUAUCAGUCUGGUAAAAUAUAAGCUCUCAGUGGGCAAAGGCUCCGGUUUUCUUCUUUAUAACCACAAUCUCAGGGCUUAACACCUAGUAGUCACUUGAAUGUUUGCGGAAUGCAAUGCAAUUAAUUGCUUUUCUCUCCGGGUCCAAUAGGGAUUACGGAGCACUCGCGGAUAGGGGUGGGGCGAAGGUAAACUUCAUCUCUUUCACUGUUUUCGCCGAGAGCGGCCCAGGCCCAGACCACGAGGACAGAAGACUGCAGGGCUAGGUGAGAAGCUGAAUUUUCUGUAAGGCCACCUCUCCUGCUAAGGAAACUCUGUCCCGCCCACUGAAGAGAGGCGUGCUCUGAUUGGCUCCCGGCGCAAACGAAGCCCUCCACCACCACCCACUCACUCGUGGAUUGGUUCUUCUGUUAACCGCAGAGCCCAGAAUAAAGAGGCCUUUGGUCAUUGGGCUCCCGAAUGACUCUUCAUUUGGCUUCCUCGCUGAUCGAAAUUAGGCAUCUCAGGAACUUCGCUAUGACUAUUAAAUCCGGGUCUGUCUGUUCAGCCCAGCAGUACCCGUCUCAAGGCCCUUUUGGGGGUUUACACAGUUCAGCCAAUCACAAAACACCUAUCUCCGGUUGCCAGGCAGAGUAUGCUAAUGAGCCCCCGCCCGGUCUGCAGCUCCCACUCUGCGGCGGGAAGAACCACCUGGAGGCGGCGGGGGGGUUUGAUUUCCAUCACCCCUGGGGAGAACGGAUCGGGGACCCACCGGCUAGUUGGCUCCCCUCACCCCACAUCGUUGAGUGCUGGCUAUCUGUGGAGCAUGGUAUAGUGGAAAGAACUCCAGAGCUGGGAGUUGGAAAAUCCUGGAUUUGGAUUCUGAGAUCUUGAGCAAGUUCAUUUUGCUUUUCUGAGGCUCAGUUUUUUUUUCCUCUGAAGAAUAUGAAGACUACCUCCUUACUCUUGUGAAGUUUAAAAUGAAAUAAGGUAUGUAAAAGUGUCUUUUAUUUAUUUUUUGGAGGAAAUUGGAGUUAAGUGACUUGC